rnacentral:lncRNA from 1 species
UGAAACUAGGGGAGAAGGUGGCUCUGUUACAGCCAGGAAACCACUAGAAGCACCUGGGCUUCUGUCGGAGGCUUCAAGCUCAUCCCUCAGGCGGGGCUGGGCCUCCGGUUCACCUGGAGUCCAGCAUGGGACCCUGUGCUGAGCCUGAGGCUCCUCUGCGUGGAGACAGCCCCACCCUCCCUGAGCUGGCUCCUUAGGGGCCUCACUGGGAAAAGCCAGGUCCCUUCCCACCCAUCCAUGAGAUGCCACCUCUGUGACAUGUUUUCUUGGAUGUAUCAGUAAGUCUUGAGGUGUCUUUGAUUCAGUUCCUCUCUCUGUACUAGGAACAUCCAGACUUAAUACUAUAGCUUCUUUCUAGGUUUUGAUAAUAGCCUCCCCUUUUUGUUCUCGAAAAUUCUCUUGCCCAUUCUUCAGUCUAUCAACUCUUGGUUCACUGUCAGCUAUCCCCUGGGCUGAGCACCUGGGCUGCAGCCAUAAACAGGACCUGAAGCCCCCACUGUGCGGCUCAGACAGGGAAUGAGGAGUGACACGGCGUCGCCCACAUCCAGCUUUCCCCAGACACCUCAAUCCUAAGAAUUACCCGCAGCUUCUUAAGAACUCUCAUUCCUCUGGAAACAGACAAGUGUCCAGCCACAGAUGAGUGGAUAAACACAGUGGUCUAGCCAUACAAUAGGAUAUGAUUCAGCCAUAAAAAGGGGUGAAGCACUGAAAAUGCUACAACACGGAUGAACCCGGAAAACAUGAUGCUCAGUGAGAGAAGCCAGACACAAAAGGGCAGAGAUUGCAUGAUCCCACUGAUUCUUCAUAUUCGUUCUAGGUGUGACACUUCUGGAACAGGCAAGUCCAUAGAGACAGCAAGAAGACCAAAGCUGACAACCAUCUGGGCCGUUUCCACCUUUGGGCCAUCGUGAGAAUCACGCUGCUAUGAACGUUCGGGAACAAGCUUUUGUGUUCCCCAGGGUACCUGGACACCUACCGGAGUCAUGGACCAGCAAUGCAGGUGCUGUUGAUGUUGGGGGCAUUGGGGGCAGAAAUGGCAGCAGCCAACAUGCUGGGGAUCCAUCCGUCUAGGUUCCACACCUUGCUUAAGGGCCAGCUUUGUGGCAGACCUGGAUACACCGGAGCUGGGGGAUCUUGAGGGAACAGGACCCAAGCCAUACCUUCUGCAAGGCCACAUGGAGAAUGUGAGUUUCUGGGCCCCCACACUCCCACCCCAGUCACUGACCAUCUGCCAGGCCAGCUGCACCUAGAGGCGGUGAGUCUCACCCCAAAUAUUUAACCCCUGACUCUGCAGUGCAUCGUUAGGGUCUGUACUGUGGCUCAAGUGGGGGCCUUUGUCUCUCUUGGGCCCAGUCCCACCUCAGGCACAGGGCCAGCUCCCAAACCAGCCCUUUCAUGGAUUGUGGCAGAUGCAAGAAAAGCCACCUUCUGGACUCUAUCCUGGCUGGGCCUGUUGUUCCAGCCGAAGCCCCCCAGAGGACAUGGGAGUUGUGGGGCAAUGACCACUGCCUCAGGGACCUUGGACUCCUGAUGGGACAAAGCUGUGAGCGGUAGCAGGAAGCUAUGAGCAGACAGGCCAGGCCCAAGGCCCACUGGGCUGCUUGCUGCUUAGACAGCCUCAGGCAAGUGCCCUACCCUCGUACAGCCUCCGCUUCUCCAUCUGUCCUCUGGCGAUGACCACAAAGGCAUCCUGGGCAUUUGCCACUUGCUGUGGGCUUUGCCAGACCUCAGACAUAUUCACAGGCACCAGCUCAAUAUCAUCCUUGCCCUAAGUCCCCGGGGAGGUUGGUGUGCCCCUUUGAAGAAGGGGAUGAAGAAACCAAGACUCUGAGACAUCAAAGCACUUGCUCAGGGUCACACAGCUGGUGAACCGCGAUUCUCCCCGCAAGCAAUCUCACUCCAGAGGCAUGUGAUCGACUGGGCUAGAAGUUACUCAUGGGGAUGCUAGGAAAAUCACACCAAUAACAAUCUCCACCAUCGUAAUAUGAGCUAAUACUUACUCUCUACGUGCCAGGCUCCUCACUGUUUCUGACUCAAUCUUCAUGACAACCCUGAGAGCUGGGUGUUAGCAUGGGAAGCUGGCCAGCUGCAGAUCCCUGAGACCUGUCCCUGCUUCUCCCUCCACUGGUUCUACCUGGGAACGCGUCUCCUGCGCAUCCUCCUCCAUCUGCCCCUCUGGCCUCACCUUGAUCAAAGUCACCACUUCUUACCUGGCCCAAUGCAACAGCCACCCACUCUCUUUUCUGAGAGCAUUUGGGAGCACAGGUAAGUUUUAGUUUGGAUGAUGGGAUGAUCUGGUUGCAUCAUACAAAGACCUAAGAGUUGGGGAGAUAUGCUUCCCGGCCUCCUGCCCCCAGGAGAGACGUGGACCCUCCAAGGACACCAUGAAUGGCAACCUUCCAGCCAUCAGCGACCUGGAAGGGGGCUCCCUGGGUGGGGGUGGCUUCAAGAGCCACCCUUGAUGUCUUCAGCUGUACCUGUUCAAGUCACAUGGCACCAACUGGCCCAUUCUUUCUACCCUGCCUGCAGGGGAGGAAACUGAGGCAGCCUGGCCAGGGCAGGGAACGUAGCCUGUGUUGUGGCUCUAACCCAGGUGUGGGCUCGGGCAGAUUCCUUAGUCUCUCUGUGCCUCAGUUUCCUCAUCUCUGAGACAGGGAUAGGAAUUGAUCCCACUGCAGAGGGUUGAGAUAAUUCAAGGAGAUAACCCUUAUAAAUGAAAGCGCUUUGGGUGUGGCCGCACCAUGAUUAGGAUAACUGGGUUUCAUCCUCUUCCUCCGUGUCACUGGUGGGGGCCUUGCCAGGGCAGGGCUCUUUGUCUGUUGUUCACUGCCAUGUCCGUAGCGCCCAUCAGACUGAAUGAACUAUGCUGGCUUUUGGAAUAACAGCAUGUAUUACUCCACCUGUCUCAGCCUUAAUUUCUUUCAACAUAAAUGGGGUUAUCAUGCCUGCUUGUCACGGAACAAGCAGAAAGACACUCAACAGCUGGAAAACAUUCCCACAGGAGUUCAGGUAUUAAGUUGCUUUGUAUGCAAGGCCAGCACUGUUCAACAGAAACUGAACCUGAGCCACACAGAAUUUACAUUUUUCUAGUAGCCACGUGAAAAGAGUAAGAAGAAAUGAGCGAAUUUUUUUCUAUUUUAUUUAACCUAAUAUAUCCAAAAUAUGAUCAAUUUGACAGGUGGUCAACAGAACAUUAUUAACGGAUAUUUUACAUUCUCUUUUUCACACUAAGUCUUCAAACCCUGGCACACAGACAUACGUGCACAGCCCAUGUCACGGGGCCAGUAAUUACUGAAUAGGACUGCGAGAUUCUAGGUGAUUCUGGGGCACCCGGACCUGCUUUGCUCUAAGCCCGCAGUGACCACAGUCUCUCAGUUCUGCUGUAGGAAAGCUGAUGGGCGCUCAGAGCAUCUUCCAGUCUCACUCGGUGCCUGGUACCCAGGGACACCUAAUAAAUGCUCAUUCUCUUUGAACCCCGUGACUCCUCCUGCCCACACUCACUGAUUAGAUGUCUGCCCCAGGACAGGGUCUCCUCUGUGGGUCCCUCCCUGGCUGCCUGACUCCAAAACAACCUGGGGCUCCCCACUGUGCCCACUGGAGCCUGGUGCCUGGGUGUGGAGGACCCUGGCACGAAGACCGCAGCAAGACACCCUUCCCCAGGUCCCCAGAGCCCCUGCAACCCUGUCCAUAGGCCAUGGGGCUGUGCUGGAGGCACCUGGCCUGCUCACAGCCAUCCCCUUCUCCAGGCUGCGAGAGCAGCCACCCCGGUAACAGAUCAUACUUUAGCAACAUCGGAGGGGCCACGUUCCUGCCAUCACCUCCACCCCAGCUGUCCCUGUCGCCCAGAACUGCUGUGUCCCCUGCUGGCUCACAGCCCAGCCUGCACUCUCCUCCCAUGUGUGGACACAGGUCCCUGCAGGCUCAGCACUCCCUGCCUGGCCAGGGCCACUGGCCUUUGAUCACAUCUGCAGUUCCUUCCUCUGGGGGUUAAUUCUGUCUCAGUGGGUGUGUAUUGGGGUUGCAUUGCUGCUGGAAUGUCUGGAACGCACAGGAGGGUACACCCCUCCCUGGAACCAGCCUCACCUGUCCCAGAGCCCAGAGAAGGGGCUGGGCCUCCUGCCACCACGGUCAUCCUCUUCUGGCGUCCUGCCUGCCUGGAGGGCCAGCUUGGGGGAGGUGCACCUCCGGUGCCGAGUAGCCCUCUGCCCCUACCUUCUUUAAACACUGCCUGGCUCCUGAAACAUCUGCCCUGGCUCUGACACAAAGGCAACCACCGUGGACACUCAGGAAAUAACUGAUGAAUAGUAACAACACUGAGGGCACCUACUGGGUGCCCAGCGACCGCUCAGUCCUUUUGUGCAUCACCCAUUGACGUCUCAUAGCCCUAGGAAGUAGCCACCCUUAGUGUUACUGGGGCUCUUAAUCCUACCUAUUAGGCUAUUAAAUUUUUGGACAAAAAGAACUUACUCACCUUUUUGGGGGCCCUUCUAUAACCUUAAUUCCACACCUUGCGUAGGGCUGGGCUCAAUAAAUAGGUGUUGAACUGAGCAGAUGUUUUAAUGCAAUUCGGUAACUCUUAUGUCUCUGUGUUCUAGGUGAAGAUAACUGAGGCUCACAGAAGUUAAGAAACUGGUCCGAGUUUACACAGCUGGGAAGUGGUGGUGCCAAGAUUCGAACCCAUGAAGACGGGCUUCAAAAAGCCACCUUCUCAGUACAAAGGGGACAUCAGUAUCAAUCCACACCCACCCCUUACAGACAAAGGGACAAGAGACAUCGGAGAGACAGGAUGAUGGGACCAGGCAUUCACCACCCAGGGAAGCAGAGUGAUUUACAGUUUGUUGUCAUUUUCAUCAGUACAAUUAAUCCCAGUGGUUGGUUGGGUAAGGAUUAGUGAUGGUAAACGGAGACUGAGUCAUUCUCCUAAGUUGUCCCCACAAGGGACUCCCAGCCUGUCCCUCCAAACAGACCUUUCAGGCGGAAGCAACUGCCAUUGAGUGAGCACCUUCCUGGCCCACACCCUACCCUAGCACCGGAAGCAGGUUUCAUCUCUGAUCCUUAUAACAACUAGUUGAGGUACGUGCUAUCAUAGCUCCAUUGCAGAUGAGGAAACUGAGCCUCAGGAAGACCACUUGCUCAGGGUCAAUAGGUUAGUAAGAGGUCUAUGCUUGUAACUGCUGCAGCCCCAACUGGGCACUUUCUAGAUAUUCAGUAAUUGCCAAAUAAAUUUUCGACCCCACCCCACCAACUCUUUGUCAUCUCUCUGCCCCUUACAGGCCCUGGCAACAGGCCCUUCACCAUUAACAAGCCCCCAGAGAUAUGAAUUGUCCACAUGCUAUAAAAUACCUGCUCAAUUUCACACCUAUUUAUGGAGCCCCAAGCUUAUGUAAGGCCUGGAAUUAAGGACAACAGAAGGCCCUCUCCCAAAAGAUGAGUAAAUCCCAACUAUUCAAAAGCUUGUAAGCUAGUAGGUAGGUUAAGGAAAAACACCCCAAUGGGUAUAAUUACAAAGAUUUGGCUUGGCGCGGUGACUCAUGCCUGUAAUCCCAGCACUUUGGGAGGCCGAGGCGGGCAGAUCACGAGGUCAGG